UGUUGGCCAUAUCGAAGCUGCUGUGCUUUGUCUUAGUGAAGCCUGCAGUCAAAAGUUGGCCAAGAGAAAAAUAUACAUCCUAUGGUCACUGGUUGAGUUAAAAUAUUCAUUUAGUAUUACCCAGGAUGGAUACAAAC